ensembl:lncRNA
GGUUCACCGGCAGUUGACCACGAGCCAGCAGCGUGCCCUGGUGGCCAAGGUCAUGCACGUGGUCAUACCCAGGAGAUGCACAGGGUGAGGUCCCACCAGGACACCCCUCACCAUGGGGAUGCAGCAGUUGAUUCUGGGGUCCCGUGGCAGCUCCACAUCCACAGUGACCAAAGGGCCCACAGGGACAGUGGCCCCGGAGGUAGCUGGUGACUGAAGACUGCUGGAUUGCUCCAUACCUGGAUGAGAUGUGUGAGGUUGCCGGGGAUGCUGGUGGCUGUGGGUCUCCUGAUGACCACAGCCAAGGCAGGCCAGGUUGGAUGGGGCCUUGGCAACCUGAGCUGGAUUUCAGCCUCCAGAUUUCAGCCCCCAAAAUGUGCCAAGCGUGAGCCUUCAGCGAGAGCUUCAUCCACGCAACCCAUGCUGGACUAACUCAUCCCAGUUCAACCGCUCCCUGCAGCAGGAGUUUUGCGUUCAUGGAAGCACCUGGUGUAUUAGAAGUUGGUUUUGGAAUGCACUCGCAGUGCCAACAGCCACAGUGACCGUCCUGCUGCCGGGCUGAGCAGUGGGGGGCUCUGCACUGGGGGAUGGAGCCUGAGCUGUGGCCUUGGGACCUGGCUGAGUUUCCCUGCUUCCAGCUGGGGGAUGGGGACAUCAGGAACAGGACGCAUCUAGGAACAGGAGCAGGUGCUGCCUUGCUUACCAUGGGGCUUUAAAGGCCAGGCUCACCCCAGCAAGGCAGUGGGUCCUCAGUUAGCUGCCCAGCUCCUUGUAAGGUCAUAUUUGUCAUCUCAAAAUACAGUUUGCUGUAGAACAGAGAAUAUUUAGAAGGGAUUUGAUAAGUAACAUCUGCUGCUGUACUGAAAUUUCAGUUCAAAGUGCUAAAAACUUUAAAAAGAAAGAGGUUUGGGUAAAAAUAAAAGGUCUCUGGAGAUGUCUCCUUGGCAGGAUCCUCCUCUCCUCCUUACACACAGCAGAUUUGUUCAUGUUUGUCAUUAUCCAUCAAACCAGAGUGCAGCAAAGGGCAGCUUUCAAGAGAUGAACCUGGAGGAGAUAAUAUUUCGCACCGCAUAAAAUGCACCUCGGGAAUUUUCGGUUCUUCUUCCCUGUUACAUUACAAGGGCCUUCAUAAAAAGUGUCACAGCUCACGAGCUAAAAAAGAAAAAGAAGAAAAGAGAAAAAAAAAAAAAAAAGCAGCAGCUUGUGGCUUUGGAUGCAUUCAGUGCGCGUUUGUGGUCGGCGUUUCCCAGGCUGCUCGGGGGUGAGCGCCAGGUCGGCCCUCGCACGGCGCUCUGCAGGCGCUGUUUCUGUAUGAGUGAUAGCAGGCACUGAACGGCAGCACUGCGGCUGAAGGCUCCAUCCUGCCCAGGGGGUUGGGAUGGGGAUGCAGCUCCCAGCCGCCCCGCUGCUGCUGCUGUGUUCAAUGAGGUGGGAGUGGGCGCUAACCCGGGGUUUGAGGGAUAUAAGUAGGUUUUGCCUCCUCUAACGGAGAGGUUUGGCUUCAUCCUCGUUCAACUUCACUGCCACAAGGUGAGAUGGGGAAUGGAUGGGUGAGCGUACAAAUGAGGAGGUGCUGCAGAGCAGCCUCAGUGCACAAUGUGGGGCAAUGUAAGUCACCGAGUGCUGCCGUAGGAAGAGGUGGGAGGCUCUGGUUUGGCAGUUACUAUAGCAAUUAACCCAAGCCCAGGGUUCCCCUGGGUACAGCCCUGGCGGUGCCUGCAUGCUCGCUUCAGAUGGGUUGUUGUGGUGCUGGGGUGUACUUGUGUGCUUGAUCUGUGUGUAAACACAAGAAGGCAGAUAUACAAACACUGCCCUGCACUCAACCUGGCUGCUCUAAAACAAACCAUCAUUAGAGGGAGGCAGUCCAGGAGGUCCAACCCUGACGCACACGGCUGUGCCUGCUGCCAGCCUGCUGCACCGAUGUGUCUUGCUUCCACAGAGCUCAAUUCACCACACCAAAAGUAGUCCUAAAACCCAACACAAGGGACAGAUCCUUUGGUUUUCCAUAUUUUCUCCCCUGGGUAGGAAACAGGUCAGGUCUGCCAGCAGAACAGACCGCAGCAGAUGGGUUGCUUUCCUACUGCACUUUUUUGCAUGAAGGAAGAUGAUACCUUACACGUGAGGUGCCACCUCAGUCAGUCACUGCACAAUGCCUUUCCUUGUCCCCUCCAUGCCCUCAGCAGUCAGACAUCUGACUCCGAUUGCUCUCUUUCCCACUUGAUGUAAGGAGUAUUGUGCACGAAGAGAAGUGCACGGAGGUGAAACCCUCUGAGAAACAUUGCGGCCACUUCUCUUUUCCCAUCAGCAGAUAUUGCUUCAGUUCCCAUUUCCUACUAUUGACUUUUGUUGCCUUUGGGCCCUGAUCACUGGCUGCUUGCUAAGGAUUUCUGAGCCUUGGACCAUGACCUAAUUUCACUAUUUAAAAACAGAUCUUCAGUAUUCCUAUUGUGCUUUGUCUUUGAAUGGGCAUUUCUGCAAAACAGUUCCAUUUUCUCUGCCUGCAAGCAACACAAGAUCGAGCAAGGCGCUCACACCGUGGUACCAGCAGGGCCCAGCCAUGGGAACAAUCCCUGUCCCCCCCAUCCGGAGCCCUCUGCCCACCUCCCUCCGAUCAGACCCCGUGCUCCCCCCAGCCCUUCAUCUUAAAGAAAAACACCACAAUCACCACUGUGUAUCUCAGACGCCCUGCAAAAGCUGUGAGUUGCAGACCGCCAGAAAACUGCUCAGACGGUCACAGCGGCUGAGCAAUGCUGGCUCUCACCAUCACCGCUCCGCUGCCGUCCUGCUGCUGCUGCCCCAGGCCCUGCGACCUUUGCAGUGAUUAUUUUCGGUCCUGCGGAAAAGGAAAUAGGAAGUAGAGCCACUCAGAUGUGUUUUCGCACACCGCGGGGCUCUCCCAUGCUCAGACAGCACUGCUCGCCCUGCGGAGAGCUCUCGUUGCCAUUUAUUCGCUCUGGGAUGUUGCAAUCAGACCAAAACGGCAGCGCGGCUACCUGAGGGUGGAAGUGGCUGAGGAAGCAGAGAGCAGUCCCGGCAGUGGGGAUGCACCGCUGAGGUCAGAGUGGGACACAGCUUGAAAGAUGAGCACGGCUGGGCUCCAGGGCUUGGGCUGCAACCACCCUGCUGUUCUGGAGCCUCUGAUGCCUGGCUCGGAAACGUAUCUAAGGAGGUUUGUGUGUUCUUGUUCAAAGUGCACUCAUUCUUGGCCUUAAUCCCACCUUCCCCUCCAGCAGACAGGCUUUGGGUUUGGCUCUGCUUGCUGCCACACGGCGGUGCUGAGGACUGCCUCUGCUCAGCAUUAAUAGAGGGUCUGAGCAGCUCUGGUGGGUGCCCAAAAAGGACAGGGACCAGCUCCAGGCACAAGGCAAAAGGGAGCUUCUGCUCCCCAUUACUUCCUUAUGCAUUCAUAUACAGAGGACAACGGUGUGGAGGCCAACAAGUUCAGAGGUGCUGCACACCUCCUUCCAGCUCUGCUCAUCAGCCUCACCUCCCGUUUUCUUCAUCAACAAGUGAGGAAUGGUCUGGUGUGCUUGUUCUAGAAAUAACGUGCAUUCCAAGGCACUUCCCACACUGCAUAGAGGCAGAGGGACUCUUUUACUUUGGUUUUCUGCAUCUAGAUUGUUCCACUGAGGAGGAUUCUUGAGAAAUUAAAGCCAUUUGUGUGCAUGGCUGCAGCACUAAUAAAACCCAAAUGUGGGCAGAGGUUCUAGGAGCUUUGCUCUUGGUGACUUGCCUUGUCUCAGAUAGCAAAUUUAAGGCUUUAACAUGAAAUAAUUUGGCAGAAAAGCCACACAGAGACUGAUGGUGACUCAGCUCUGCUGCCGAAGGCGCGUAGAGGGCACUGGCUGGGAGCUCUGCUGUGUGUGCAGAACAUGAGAGCUGUGCUGGCAGAGCUGUGAGCGUGGGGGAGCAGAAGGAGCUGACUGAAGUACCAGCAAAACUUUACAAGAACUCAGCUCAGCUGAAGGGAUGCUGGAGGAGGCAGCUGCUGGUAACAGAGAUAGGAAACAGGUGGUAAAUCAGUGCCUAAUGAGGGGAGAGCAAAGAACAGCCUCAGUUGUGGUUACCUGUCCUGUGUUGGAGGAAUGGAGCAGAGCUGCAUGAAG